AGUGAACGCUGGCGGCGUGCCUAAUACAUGCAAGUCGAACGGAGUGGCGCCCGGGUGAGUAAUGUAUAGCUAAUCUGCCCUACACUAGAGGACAACAGUUGGAAACGGCUGCUAAUACUCUAUAGUGUAGGAUGAGGCUAUAUUGUAUCAGCUAGUUGGUGAGGUAAUGGCUCACCAAGGCUAUGACGCAUAACUGGUCUGAGAGGAUGAUCAGUCAAAUUGGAAGUGAGACACGGGCCAGACUCCUACGGGAGGCAGCAGUAGGGAAAAUUGGCCAAUGGGGGAAACCCUGAAGGGGCAACGCGGUGUGGAGGAUGACACUUUACGGAGCGUAAACGCCGUUUGUUAGGGAAGCGGUACCUAAAGAAGAAGCACCGGCUAACUCCGUGCCAGCAGCCGCGGUAAUAC
rnacentral:rRNA from 1 species